AUUUGUAACUAGAGCAAAACCAAGAUCAUACUCAUACACAACUGUGUAAUUCGUGGAUAAAGGAUACAGUACCACAGUCACUGCAGAUAACUGAUGUCCUGCCACGAAACUAUUCAGUGUUUCUUGAUGAAGCUGCACUUGCGAGAGUCACACUCAGUUCCUCAGGUACCUUUGAAAUUACAAAAAUAUCAAUAGGUCUUCCAAAAAUCUGAUCCUAAGGCAAUCGGACAUCAGAUCAGUUCACUAUGAAAUUACAUUAGCAGUUAUAACAUGAACUGCAUAUUUGCUGAAAAUGCGAGUCAUAACUGUAGAGCAAAAUAACAGUAAGAGGUUUCAGAAGUUACUGAGUGGCCUGUUUUAACAAGUAGAGAGAGUUUACGUGUAAGAUUCCAGUAAUUUUUGUAUUUCAGUCACAUGCUCAUCACAGUAAAAACAUACUUCUUACCCACUAGUCACUGAUGGGGAGCUGCAGAAACAAAUACUGAACAAGAACCAUUUAUUUUUCUAUCCUCUUUCUAUCUUCUUUUAAUUAUCCCACAACAUGGUAUACCAUCUCUGACCGGAUCGUUCAAUACCAUUAUUGAAAAUCAAUAAUGCAUUUUGAUAAUGCCAUACAACUAAUAUAAAA